rnacentral:rRNA from 1 species
UACGUAGGGUGCAGGCGUUAAUCGGAAUUACUGGGCGUAAAGCGUGCGCAGGCGGUUUGCUAAGACAGGUGUGAAAUCCCCGGGCUUAACCUGGGAACUGCGCUUGUAACUGGCAAGCUAGAGUGUGGCAGAGGGGGGGUGGAAUUCCACGUGUAGCAGUGGAAAUGCGUAGAGAUGUGGAGGAACACCGAUGGCGAAGGCAGCCCCCCUGGGCUAACACUGACGCUCAUGCACGAAAGCGUGGGGAGCAAACAGG